AACACUUGAGGCCCUUGCUGCUUGUUGACCAUUUUGGAGCUUGUUAAUUACAGGGCCUUCAAAUAUUGUAUCAAUUGAGUCUGAAGAGCAAUUCAAUACUUCACUUCGCAAAGUACAAGAUGAAUCUUUGCCUGCAAUAUUCUACUUCACUGCAGUCUGGUGUGGGCCCUGUAGGCUGUUAUCUCCUGUAAUUGGCCAAUUGAGUGAGAAAUAUCCUCAUGUGACAACAUAUAAAAUUGACAUUGACAAGGUAAAAAAGCAUCUUCCUGGUGUACUGUCUCUUAGAUUCCUUUGCCCGGCACACAUGUUUCGGCCUUGUGUGUCCAUAACUCAAAAUAAUUCCCAGUCCUAAGCAUUAGCAGUCACUGGGUUCGGGUGCAUACAAAUGGCGGGUUUGACGGACGAAUUCAUUCCCAUGUAGAUAAAUACUUUCCUUUCUAUCUGCAGACUGCCUAGAGACCUCUUUGAAUAAUAGAAAAGUCAGGAACCUUAUUAAUGCUUAAUCGAACCCACUAUUCUGGGGUGCUGAUGUGUGCCAAUUCUCUCUCUUUCUUUUUUCUUGGACAAAUUGAAAUUUAUAUUUCUAACAAUAAACCUAAUUGGUGGUCAUAUACCAAAAGAAGCUACAUCAGACCAUUAAGAUGUAUCUAUAUACUGAAGUACAAUAUCAAACCAUCUAGAAAGUAGUGUAAUCCGUUGUUUGCCAGAUAACAACACACAAAAGUGACUUGAGACUCCAGAUUGUUGAUUACUGUGAUUGUCCAGAUCAUCAGCACUGUUUCAAUUGCUAUCAACAGCAAAAUCUCUAACCAAAAGCAUACUCAUUUGCCUCUGCAUCC